rnacentral:rRNA from 1 species
AUUGAACGCUGGCGGCAUGCUUUACACAUGCAAGUCGAACGGCAGCGGGUCCUUCGGGAUGCCGGCGAGUGGCGAACGGGUGAGUAAUGCAUCGGAACAUACCCAGUCGUGGGGGAUAACGUAGCGAAAGUUACGCUAAUACCGCAUACGUCCUGAGGGAGAAAGCGGGGGAUCGCAAGACCUCGCGCGAUUGGAGUGGCCGAUGUCAGAUUAGCUAGUUGGUGGGGUAAAGGCCCACCAAGGCGACGAUCUGUAGCGGGUCUGAGUGGAUGAUCCGCCACACUGGGACUGAGACACGGCCCAGACUCCUACGGGAGGCAGCAGUGGGGAAUUUUGGACAAUGGGGGCAACCCUGAUCCAGCCAUGCCGCGUGCGGGAAGAAGGCCUUCGGGUUGUAAACCGCUUUCGGACGGAAAGAAAUCGCCAUCUCUAAUACAGGUGGUGGAUGACGGUACCGUAAGAAGAAGCACCGGCUAACUACGUGCCAGCAGCCGCAGUAACAC